UACGUAGGGGGCUAGCGUUGUCCGGAUUUAUUGGGCGUAAAGAGCGUGUAGGCGGCCUGGUAGGUCUGCUGUGAAAACUCGAGGCUCAACCUCGAGAUGUCGGCGGAAACCAUCUGGCUAGAGUCCGGAAGAGGAGAGUGGAAUUCCUGGUGUAGCGGUGAAAUGCGCAGAUAUCGGGAGGAACACCUGUGGCGAAAGCGGCGCACUGGACCACAACUGACGCUGAGGCGCGAAAGCUAGGGGAGCAAACAGG
rnacentral:rRNA from 1 species